rnacentral:rRNA from 1 species
CCUACGGGAGGCAGCAGUGGGGAAUCUUGCACAAUGGGCGAAAGCCUGAUCCAGCAACGCCGCGUGAAGGAAGACGUAUUUCGGUAUGUAAACUUCUAUCAGCAGGGAAGAAAAUGACGGUACCUGACUCAGAAUCCCCGGCUAACGACGUGCCAGCAGCCGCGGUCAUACGUAGGGGGCAAGCGUUAGCCGGAUUUACUGGGUGGAAAGGGAGAGUAGGCGGUGAUGCAAGUCAGAAGUGAAAGCCCGCAGCUCAACUGCGGGACUGCUUUUGAAACUGUAUGACUAGAUUGCAGGAGAGGUAAGUGGAAUUCCUAGUGUAGCGGUGAAAUGCGUAGAUAUUAGGAGGAACACCAGUGGCGAAGGCGGCUUACUGGACUGUAACUGACGCUGAGGCUCGAAAGCGUGGGGAGCAAACAGGAUUAGAUACCCUUGUAGUC